UGUGACCCGAGAGGAGGUGGCCACUCAACGCUGAGGUCACACGGCUCUCUUCCUUAUGCAGGAAAGUCAAGUCCCUGAAUGCUGCCAAGGAGACACACUGCU